rnacentral:rRNA from 1 species
UAACACGUGAGUAAUUUACCUCUAAGUCGAGGAUAGCCUUGCGAAAGCGAGGGUAAUACCCGAUGUGUUUACGGCUGCAUAAGCAGCUGUAAAUAAAGAAGGCUCGCAAGAGUUUUCGUUUAGAGAUGAGCUCGCGUCCUAUCAGCUAGUUGGUGGGGUAAUGGCCUACCAAGGCAACGACGGGUAGCUGGUCUGAGAGGAUGAUCAGCCACACUGGGACUGAGACACGGCCCAGACUCC